GACGAACGCUGGCGGCGUGCUUAACACAUGCAAGUCGUACGGUAAGGCCCUUUCGGGGGUCCACGAGUGGCGAACGGGUGAGUAACACGUGAGUAACCUGCCCACAACUUUGGGAUAACGCUAGGAAACUGGUGCUAAUACUGGAUAUGUGCUCCUGCUGCAUGGUGGGGGUUGGAAAGCUCCGGCGGUUGUGGAUGGACUCGCGGCCUAUCAGCUUGUUGGUGGGGUAGUGGCCUACCAAGGCGGCGACGGGUAGCCGGCCUGAGAGGGUGACCGGCCACAUUGGGACUGAGAUACGGCCCAGACCCCUACGGGAGGCAGCAGUGGGGAAUAUUGCACAAUGGGCGCAAGCCUGAUGCAGCAACGCCGCGUGCGGGAUGACGGCCUUCGGGUUGUAAACCGCUUUCAGCAGGGACGAAGCUUUUUGUGACGGUACCUGCAGAAGAAGCACCGGCUAACUACGUG
rnacentral:rRNA from 1 species